rnacentral:rRNA from 1 species
CUGGGUUUGACAUACACCAGACGCGUCUAGAGAUAGGCGUUCCCUUGUGGUUGGUGUACAGGUGGUGCAUGGCUGUCGUCAGCUCGUGUCGUGAGAUGUUGGGUUAAGUCCCGCAACGAGCGCAACCCUUGUCCUGUUUUGCCAGCGGGUUAUGCCGGGGACUUGCAGGAGACUGCCGGGGUCAACUCGGAGGAAGGUGGGGAUGACGUCAAGUCAUCAUGCCCCUUAUGUCCAGGGCUUCACACAUGCUACAAUGGCCGGUACAGAGGGCUGCGAUACCGUGAGGUGGAGCGAAUCCCUUAAAGCCGGUCUCAGUUCGGAUCGGGGUCUGCAACUCGACCCCGUGAAGUCGGAGUCGCUAGUAAUCGCAGAUCAGCAACGCUGCGGUGAAUA